rnacentral:rRNA from 1 species
AUUGAACGCUGGCGGCAUGCCUUACACAUGCAAGUCGAACGGCAGCACGGGUGCUUGCUCCUGGUGGCGAGUGGCGAACGGGUGAGUAAUACAUCGGAACAUGUCCUGUAGUGGGGGGUAGCCCGGCGAAAGCCGGAUUAAUACCGCAUUCGAUCUACGGGUGACAGCGGGGGGCCUUGGGGCCUCGCGCUAUAGGGUUGGGCGCUGGCUGAUUUGCUGGUUGCGGGGGUGAAGGCCUACCAAGGCGACGUUCAGUAGCUCGUCUGAGAGGCCGAGCGGCCACACGGGGGCGGAGACAGCGACCAGACGCCUGCGGUAGGCACCAGUGGGGAACGGUGGACAGUAGGCGAAAGCCUGAUCCAACGAGGCCGCGUGUGUGAAAAAGGCCUUCGGGUUGGAAAGCACUUUUGUGCGGAAAGAACCCCUUGGGCCUAAUACGGUCGGUGGAUGACGGUACCGGAAGAAUAAGCACCGGCUAACUACGUG